GCUGGCGGCAGGCUUAACACAUGCAAGUCGAGCGGAGUGAUGGUGCUUGCACUAUCACUUAGCGGCGGACGGGUGAGUAAUGCUUAGGAAUCUGCCUAUUAGUGGGGGACAACAUCUCGAAAGGGAUGCUAAUACCGCAUACGUCCUACGGGAGAAAGCAGGGGAUCACUUGUGACCUUGCGCUAAUAGAUGAGCCUAAGUCGGAUUAGCUAGUUGGUGGGGUAAAGGCCUACCAAGGCGACGAUCUGUAGCGGGUCUGAGAGGAUGAUCCGCCACACUGGGACUGAGACACGGCCCAGACUCCUACGGGAGGCAGCAGUGGGGAAUAUUGGACAAUGGGGGGAACCCUGAUCCAGCCAUGCCGCGUGUGUGAAGAAGGCCUUAUGGUUGUAAAGCACUUUAAGCGAGGAGGAGGCUCUUUUGGUUAAUACCCAAGAUGAGUGGACGUUACUCGCAGAAUAAGCACCGGCUAACUCUGUGCCAGCAGCCGCGGUAAUACAGAGGGUGCAAGCGUUAAUCGGAUUUACUGGGCGUAAAGCGCGCGUAGGCGGCCAAUUAAGUCAAAUGUGAAAUCCCCGAGCUUAACUUGGGAAUUGCAUUCGAUACUGGUUGGCUAGAGUGUGGGAGAGGAUGGUAGAAUUCCAGGUGUAGCGGUGAAAUGCGUAGAGAUCUGGAGGAAUACCGAUGGCGAAGGCAGCCAUCUGGCCUAACACUGACGCUGAGGUGCGAAAGCAUGGGGAGCAAACAGGAUUAGAUACCCUGGUAGUCCAUGCCGUAAACGAUGUCUACUAGCCGUUGGGGCCUUUGAGGCUUUAGUGGCGCAGCUAACGCGAUAAGUAGACCGCCUGGGGAGUACGGUCGCAAGACUAAAACUCAAAUGAAUUGACGGGGGCCCGCACAAGCGGUGGAGCAUGUGGUUUAAUUCGAUGCAACGCGCAA
rnacentral:rRNA from 1 species